CCCUCGCGCAGCCGCCAGCCUCCAAUCCUCCCCCGUUCCCAAAUCGAGCGCUGGCUCACCUCCAGCUCCAGUCCUCCUCCUCCAGAGUCCAGACCUCCACUUCCCUUCCCGUCUGACUCGGCGACGACGACGGCCGGCGAUUCUGCAACGAUGGCGACGGUUGACGAUUGACUCGGCGGCGACGGCAACCGGCGAACCCGUGACGGCGGCGACCGACGAAUCUGCAUCGACUUGACCUGAACAUCUGCAAGUAGGAGCAGCUGUCGGCGGCCAUCUUCAUCAUCCCCAGACCCCAGUACCCGACCAUCAAUUUGAGGAUCUGCAAUGGCAUCAGGUUCAAGUGUAUAUGAUGAUCAGGAAAACGCCCCAUCUCCACCUCGUGUGAAGAGAAAGCUCACAUCUGUGGUGUGGAAUGAGUUCAACAAGGUUCUUGUUAAUGGAGAAUUGAAGGUUGAAUGUGUAUGGUGUCACGUUCUGCUUGGAGCAGAUCCAAAGAAUGGAACUUCCCAUUUGCAUGCCCAUUUGGCAAGAUGUGAAUCUAGGAAGGCCAAUGGAUGAGGAAGUGUCGAUGCCUACAUGUGGCGGUGAAGAAUUGAAGGCUGUACUUGGAGAUGUGAUUCUGUGUGCUUUUGUUUAGUGUUAAUGAUUGAAACUUUCAGUCUUGUAAUCUGUAGCUAAAACUUGUUGAAGCCAUAAUGUGCAUGCAAGCUUGGUGUAAUGCCGACAUGCUUGGUGACAACAACUCGUCACUCUCUACGGAGUUUCAGACUUGUCUGGAUGAGGAUGAUGAACCAAUGGAUGAGGAAUUGGCAACUUGCAACAAUUACUAGCUUAAUGCAUGCUUUUUCAUGGAGUAAAGAAUGAUGAGUUGAAGAGUAUGGAUGGAGAAUUGGACUGGAACCUGAUGCAGUGGUGCAUGCUUUUUCGAUGUUGAGACAUGGGAUGUCCUGUACUCCUGAUGUGUUCUUCAUUCACUCUAUCCUAUUAUCUUGCUUAAUUGUUGAAGGACUAGAACUUUCGAUGUUGCGAAGUUGUAAUCGAACUAGUAGUAUUGUUGUUACUCCAGUGAACUAUUCAGUCAUGUUGUAUUAUGGUUGACUUGAGAAGUUUAAUUUCUGAAACUUGUGAAGUUGUGAUGUUUCAAUUUUGUGUUGCUGAGUUUACUAUUAUUUUGAUG